rnacentral:rRNA from 1 species
GCUAUUGGAGUUCGAUUAAGCCAUGCGAGUCGCGAGAAAUUAGAUUCUCGGCGUACCGCUCAGUAACACGUGGGUAACCUGCCCUAUGCUGGAUAAUAACCUCGGGAAACUGAGUAUAAUGAUUCAUAGUUCACUACGCCUGGAACGGUGAGUGGAUGAAAGCUCCGGCGGCAUAGGAUGGGCCUGCGGCGUAUCAGGUAGUAGGGGGUGUAACGUACCCUCUAGCCCUCUACGCGUACGGGUGUUGGGAGACAUAGCCCGGAGAUGGAUUCUGAGACACGAAUCCAGACCCUACGGGGUGCAGCAGGCGCGAAAACUUGGCAAUGCGAGAAAUCGUGACCAGGGAACUCCAAGUGCAUCGGGUAAGACCGGUGCUUUUCUUGACUCUAAAUAGGUCUUGGAAUAAGGGGUGGGUAAGGACGGUGCCAGCCGCCGCGGUAAUACCGGCGCCUCAAGUGGUAGUCGCUUUUAUUGGGCCUAAAACGUCCGUAGCCGGUCUGAUACAUUCGUGGGUAAAUCAACCAGCUCAACUGGUUGAAUUCUGCGAGGACGGUCAGACUUGGGACCGGGAGAGGUGUGGGGUACGCUCAGGGUAGGGGUAAAAUCCUGUCAUCCUGAGCGGACCACCUGUUGCGAAGGCGCCACACUAGAACGGAUCCGACGGUCAGGGACGAAGCCUAGGGGCACGAACCGGAUUAGAUACCCGGGUAGUCCUAGGUGUAAACGCUGUGGACUUGAUGUUGGGGGUGCUCCGAGCACUCUCAGUGUCGAAGCGAAGGUGAUAAGUCCACUGCCUGGGAAGUACGGUCGCAAGGCUGAAACUUAAAGGAAUUGGCGGGGGAGCACCGC